GUGUUUUGUGAUCAAAGUACUGAAUGUUUUAAUCAUCUAUUCUUUGACUGCUCAGUUAAAGGUAGCCUGAUCAGUAGAUUGCAAAGUUUCUGCAAACUAGAACAAUUCCAUAUUCAGAAACUAUAUCUGGCAUUGGUUCCUACUUACAGUAAGGAUACAUGGAAGAACCUGGUGUUACUUGCACAUGUUCAACCUAGACACAGGUUUACUGUCUGGCUAGCUGCUCAGCAGAGGCUACCUACAGUAGACAAACUACAGAAAAUUGGUAUCCUAGUUCCUGGAAAUUGUGUAUUCUAUGAUCAAAGUACUGAAACUUUCAACCACCUGUUCUUUGACUGACCAGUUACAAAGGGCCUGUGGAGUAGAUUAUGCAACUGUUUGGGACAUAACAGGGCAGUGGGUGAUUGGGAAGCAGAAUUGCAAUGGGUGUGGAUUGUGGAAUAGAUUAUGCAUCUGGUUGGGACAUAACAGGGCAGUUGGUGAUUGGGAAGUAGAAUUGCAAUGGGUGUGCAGCAAGGCAAAGAGUAGAGUGAUGCUUAAUAUUAUAACAGCUUGUGUCUUCAUCAACAUAGUUGCACUUAUCUGGCGAGAGAGG
rnacentral:lncRNA from 1 species